UACGUAGGGUCCGAGCGUUGUCCGGAAUUAUUGGGCGUAAAGGGCUCGUAGGCGGUCUGUUGCGUCAGGAGUGAAAACUCGGGGCUUAACCCCGAGCCUGCUUCUGAUACGGGCAGACUAGAGGUAUGCAGGGGAGAACGGAAUUCCUGGUGUAGCGGUGAAAUGCGCAGAUAUCAGGAGGAACACCGGUGGCGAAGGCGGUUCUCUGGGCCGAUACUGACGCUGAGGAGCGAAAGCGUGGGGAGCGAACAGG
rnacentral:rRNA from 1 species